rnacentral:rRNA from 1 species
UACAGAGGGUGCGAGCGUUAAUCGGAAUUACUGGGCGUACAGCGUGCGUAGACGGCUAUCUAAGUCGGGUGUGAAAGCCCCGGGCUCAACCUGGGAAUUGCAUUCGAGACUGAAUAGCUAGGGUACGGUAGAGGGAAGUGGAAUUUCCGGUGUAGCGGUGAAAUGCGUAGAUAUCGGAAGGAACAUCAGUGGCGAAAGCGACUUCCUGGACCAGUACCGACGUUCAGGCACGAAAGCGUGGGGAGCAAACAGG